GUCUUGUGAUUGGUCUAGAAGAGCUGCUGGCCCUCUAGAGAGACACCAGCACUGAUUGCAUAGGCCUGACUCAGCUUUUCCUCCUUCUCUGUCCGUGCUUUGCUGGCAAGCUUACUAACAUUGAGUGCAGCUAGGGGAGGAGGGGUUUCUGUUCGGUCAUUAAUUAUUUCCACUUCGGAAACAUACUGUAAGUUUAUGAGCAAGAUGUCUGCAUGGUUGGGCUUUCCAUUGGAAGAGGGACAUUUUAAAGCCAGCAUUUUGGAUUGGUGGUCAAAGGCUACCACCUCGCCCUGCAGCCGCUGCUCCUGGCACGCCCCGCUCCACACCUGGCUCCCAACGCUAUAUACUCGCCGGGAGGAGCCGCCAUCUUGGGAGUGCAGCCGCGGCCGCCCGGCGGCGGCGGCGGCGGCAGCAGCGGGCGAAAGCCGGGCCCCCAGUGAGCGCCGCGCCGCGCCGCCAUUUUGUGGAUUUUUAUCUCAGUUCCAUCACUUUGAACAGUUGGGAUCAACUCAACAAUAUUUAAAGUGGGCUUUGCAGAGCAUCUUGUGGACAAAGUACAAGGGGAAGGAGCCAGACCCUCCCCAUGGCCAUGCUUUCUCUGAAACAGCCCUGAUGACGUACUUUUUCAUGCUGAGGUCUGAACGCUGUUCCAGAAAUUGGCAACAAAUGGGUUUAGCAGACAAAAGUUUUAAAGUUUACAUUCUCGUGAGGAUAAAUGAGGAGAGAUGUUCUAUCAUAAAUGAUCAUCUGAGAGCAGAGUCCAGGAAUUUAAUAGAGAGUGAAAAGAAGACUGAAUGA
ensembl:lncRNA